AGGAGGAGAAGGAGGAAGAAGAAGAAGAAGAAGAAGAAGAAGAAGAAGAAGAAGAAGAAGAAGAAGAAGAAGAAGAAGAAGAAGAAGAAGAAGAAGAAGAAGAUCUGACUCCAGGCUAGAGUUCCCUAUCUAGUUGAAUCAUCAUAGCACAUCCAGUAACGAAUGUCUCAAAGGCACACUGAUAGGACAGGGUCAGAGAAACAAGACAAAGAUGUGUGAGUGGAUUGUGAAGGGUGAAGAGGAAUUUUCCAUAUGGAAAGGGUGUGAGUGUGUAGAAAGGUAGAUGAGCCCUGUGUAUAGAACCUUUCCCACUCACAGUGCAGGCAGAGGCCUCUCCUCCCAGGGUAGUCAAGCUCUGAUGCUUGUCUGCUGCUGCCGCUGUCAUCUCCUUACAGCUGUGUGCAACCAUAGCUUCAUGUGUGCACUGCAGGCUAAUGGCUGCUGCCUCUGCUACAGGCUAAUAGCUGCUGCCUCUGGCAUAGUGAGACUAUUGUGAUCAGCCAGGCAAGCUGAGAAAUGUGGCUAUUUCAGGAGCUUGGGUUCAGAUCCAAGCUCUGCCUCCAGCUUCCUCUAACUGUGGUCAGGUCUUUGAGCCUCAGUUUCCCCAUGUUUAGAGUAAAGAGUUGGCUUUCAGUUCUGCUGUUUUCCUGCCCUGCUUGGUGUGAAGCUCCCAAAUUCUGACCAGCAACACCGUUGCUUUCCUUUGUUUGUGCAUGCAGCAGCACAGCAUCGGCAGAUGUGGCCUAUUUACCUGGAGCGCCCAGCACCAGUGUAGGAUCUGCAGCCCAGAAGUGGAGUUUGGGAGAGAAACUGCAGAGCAGAAGCAUGACUGAAGGCCGAGCCCCAAGGCUGGAACAACAGAGACAACUGUAGCCACACCACUGGGCUCUCUUCACCUGUGGUGACUCACUUGGUGUUUCCAUAGCCCAGUCCAGCACACUCAGGCUGGGGUUUGGUUUUUGGCUGAGCCACCUGGUCAAGAAUCCAAGGGGAGAGAAUGAUGGGGAGGGAAGUGGGAAGGCGAGGGGAGAAAAAUGCUAACAUUCAUUAAAGGCUUCCUGGGCA
rnacentral:lncRNA from 1 species